rnacentral:rRNA from 1 species
AUGAGAUUAAAAACGAAUGCAAAGAGGAGUCCUGGUCUGAGGCAGAGAGUGGCGCUGCGCCGGUCGUACAGGAGGACGGGCGCCGGCGGCCGGCGAACUCGGAGGCGGCGAUGGUGUGACGACGUCCGUGGUGGUGGUGGCGGCGGCAGUGGCGAGGCUUCCCUGCUCGUCAUGGGCAAGGGAAAAAAAGGAACUCAGAGGCAUGGAAAGGAUGAAGAGACGAAAAAUGAGAAGGGGGAGGAAGAAGGAGGCGCUCGAGGGAGACUCGGUGGUGGCCUCGAUCCAGAUCUGCGGGGGAGUCCUUGA